rnacentral:rRNA from 1 species
UACGGAGGGUGCAAGCGUUAUCCGGAUUUACUGGGUUUAAAGGGUGCGUAGGUGGGCAGUUAAGUCAGCGGUGAAAUCUCUGGGCUUAACCCAGAAACUGCCAUUGAUACUAUCUGUCUUGAAUAUCCUGGAGGUGAGCGGAAUAUGUCAUGUAGCGGUGAAAUGCUUAGAUAUGACAUAGAACACCAAUUGCGAAGGCAGCUGACUACGGGAGCAUUGACACUGAGGCACGAAAGCGUGGGGAUCAAACAGG